UACGUAGGGUGCAAGCGUUGUCCGGAAUUAUUGGGCGUAAAGAGCUCGUAGGCGGUUUGUCGCGUCUGCUGUGAAAACCCGAGGCUCAACCUCGGGCCUGCAGUGGGUACGGGCAAACUAGAGUGCGGUAGGGGAGAAUGGAAUUCCUGGUGUAGCGGUGGAAUGCGCAGAUAUCAGGAGGAACACCGGUGGCGAAGGCGCUGCUCUGGGCCGGUACUGACGCUGAGGAGCGAAAGCGUGGGUAGCAAACAGG
rnacentral:rRNA from 1 species